UAGGGAAUAUUAGUAAUGGGCGAAAGCCUGAACUAGCAACGCCGCGUGUGCGAAGAAGGCCUUAGGGUUGUAAAGCACUUUUUGAGAGGAUGAGGAAGGACGGUACUCUCAGAAUAAGUCUCGGCUAACUACGUGCCAGCAGCCGCGGUAACACGUAGGAGGCGAACGUUAUCCGGAUUUACUGGGAGUAAAGCGCGUGUAGGGGGUUUGGUAAGUAGGGCGUGAAAGCUCCUGGCUCAACUGGGAGAGGCCGUUCUAAACUG
rnacentral:rRNA from 1 species